UUGGUUAUUUUUAAUUCAUUUUAAAUACUUUUUGAUAUUCAAAAAAUACAAAAAUAUUUUCUCAACCUCUUUGAAUGAUGAUGGAUCUAUGAAAAAUAUUCUCAUCAAUUUAUUAAUUGAUUUGAGAUUUAUUUGAGAUUUUAGUUCAAUUAGGUAAUGAAAAAUAUUCUCAUCAAUUUAUUAAUUGAUUUGAGAUUUAUUUGAGAUUUUAGUUCAAUUAGGUUAUUUUUAUUCAUUUUUAAUUGAUUAAAAAUAGUUUCUGACUUUUAAAAAUGCUGAAUUUGUUUUGUCAAACUUUG
rnacentral:lncRNA from 1 species